AGCAGCCGCGGUAAUUCCAGCUCCAAUAGCGUAUAUUAAAGUUGUUGCAGUUAAAAAGCUCGUAGUUGAAUUUCGGGAUCAAUAUAACGGUCAUGCCGUUGGUAUGCACUGUUAUAAUUGGUUUCUCACCUUCUAAAGAACCGUAAUGCCAUUAAUUUGGUGUCACGGGGAAUUAGGACUGUUACCUUGAAAAAAUUAGAGUGUUUAAAGCAGGCUCACGCUUGAAUACAUUAGCAUGGAAUAAUGAAAUAGGACAUCCGAUUCUAUUUUGUUGGUUUCUAGGAUCGAUGUAAUGAUUAAUAGGGAUAGUUGGGGACGGAUUGAUUCUAUUUCGUUGGUUUCUAGGAUCACCGUA
rnacentral:rRNA from 1 species